GACGAACGCUGGCGGCGUGCUUAACACAUGCAAGUCGAACGGAAAGGCCCUGCUUUUGUGGGGUGCUCGAGUGGCGAACGGGUGAGUAACACGUGAGUAACCUGCCCUUGACUUUGGGAUAACUUCAGGAAACUGGGGCUAAUACCGGAUAGGAGCUCCUGCUGCAUGGUGGGGGUUGGAAAGUUUCGGCGGUUGGGGAUGGACUCGCGGCUUAUCAGCUUGUUGGUGGGGUAGUGGCUUACCAAGGCUUUGACGGGUAGCCGGCCUGAGAGGGUGACCGGCAACAUUGGGACGGAGAUACGGCCCAGACUCCUACGGGAGGCAGCAGUGGGGAAUAUUGCACAAUGGGCGGAAGCCGGAUGCAGCAACGCCGCGUGCGGGAUGACGGCCUUCGGGUUGUAAACCGCUUUCGCCUGUGACGAAGCGUGAGUGACGGUAAUGGGUAAAGAAGCACCGGCUAACUACGUG
rnacentral:rRNA from 1 species